GUGCCAGCAGCCGCGGUAAUACGGGAGUGGCAAGCGUUAUCCGGAAUUAUUGGGCGUAAAGCGUCCGCAGGCGGCCCUUCAAGUCUGCUGUUAAAAAGUGGAGCUUAACUCCAUCAUGGCAGUGGAAACUGAGGGGCUUGAGUGUGGUAGGGGCAGAGGGAAUUCUCGGUGUAGCGGUGAAAUGCGUAGAUAUCGGGAAGAACACCAGUGGCGAAGGCGCUCUGCUGGGCCAUCACUGACGCUCAUGGACGAAAGCCAGGGGAGCGAAAGGGAUUAGAUACCCCUGUAGUCCUGGCCGUAAACGAUGAACACUAGGUGUCGGGGGAAUCGACCCCCUCGGUGUCGUAGCCAACGCGUUAAGUGUUCCGCCUGGGGAGUACGCACGCAAGUGUGAAACUCAAAGGAAUUGACGGGGGCCCGCACAAGCGGUGGAGUAUGUGGUUUAAUUCGAUGCAACGCGAAGAACCUUACCAGGGUUUGACAUCCUGCGAAUCUCUUGGAAACGAGAGAGUGCCUUCGGGAGCGCAGUGACAGGUGGUGCAUGGCUGUCGUCAGCUCGUGUCGUGAGAUGUUGGGUUAAGUCCCGCAACGAGCGCAACCCACGUCUUUAGUUGCCAGCAUUUAGUUGGGCACUCUAGAGAGACCGCCGGUGAUAAACCGGAGGAAGGUGUGGAUGACGUCAAGUCAUCAUGCCCCUUACAUCCUGGGGCUACACACGUACUACAAUGCU
rnacentral:rRNA from 1 species